AAUUAUCCCUGAUAGGAUAUGCAGGUAGCAACGGACCAGUCCUGGCCGAACACGCAUGGAAACGUACUCCAUUCGAAACGUUUAUUUCACAGCCAAGCUUAAUUUAAUGGAGGGGGGGAGAUGUAACGUAUUUUCUUGUCGCGAUAUUAUAUUCCUGUCCGACCCACGUUGAACGAGGAAUUUGCUCGUUCCGCGUGCAUCCGAACUCGAUGCACGUCCGACGUAUCGUUGUCGUCGGUCUUGCCACCGUCACCUGUCGCAAAUUGUCGAGGAAGCGAUAAGAAAAACGAUUACUGCUUUAACCUUCCGUCGUUCGCGAGUGUUUUUAAGCAUAUGUGUGAAGUGACUAGUGACUAAAAUUCCAUCCUUCCUCACGGCGGAUCCAGAGGUUACCAUUAACUAGACCUUGUACCGGAUACACCCAACAUCGAGCAUUUCCAGGAAAUCCUUUCACACGCUUGACGAAAAGAGCGAUUCAAGUUUUCUAUAGCGCUUUACCAACUGAAUUUUUGCGGUACCUUUCCUCGCAAAAGUGGCCAUCAUUAAUAACUGACCGAGAAAAAAAUCAGCGUUCUACUUUCAUUUCGUUGUAAUAUUAAAAAUUAACAAUUCUUUUAACUCCUGAAAUAAUAAUUUGUAAUUUUUAAACAAGAAGAGAAUUAUCAAAAUAUUCGAUCCGAUUUCAGUUUCGUUCAAAUUUUUCAAAUAAAAAUUGAAUGACUUCAAGAAAACACGUUUUUAUAUUAUUGGAUGAUAAACAUCAAAUUUAUAUUUAUUAUAAAUAAGUAUAAUCUUCUUGUUAUUAAAAAUAUAUUAAUUUCAAUUUGAAUUUUGUAAAACUUUUUACAUUUAAUUUUCACGUAAUAGCACAAUAUUUUUUUUUUUUUAUAUAAAAUGUAACAAUAAAAUAAUUAAACUU